rnacentral:misc_RNA from 1 species
CUAUCCUUCUCAGUUGCUUCACGAGCAUAUGCUCGUUGACUAACCCGGGGCUUGUGUUGCGUACCUAAAUAGAAGGAAUUGUUGUGAAUUGCUUUAAAUGUUGUUCGCGGCAUCUCCUUCGAUGGGGAAGUCGUGAACACAUAAACCGACACUUGUGAUCCUUGCGUUUUGGCAUUAAUACUGCCUCAGUCGCUAAGGWGAAUAAGCUGCUGGUUGAGCUCUCGGAUGCGGAUCAAUAAUGGACGGUGACUCGAAGCAAUUCUGUCCCGCCAAAGCACUUUAAAGAUGACAGUCAAGACCUCGGCAGUUCUUGCUUACUUGGUGUUUGAGAUUGAUUAAUUUCUCUCUUAUAC